GCACAAGCGGUGGAGCAUGUGGUUUAAUUCGACGCAACGCGCAGAACCUUACCAGCCCUUGACAUCCCGGUCGCGGACUCCAGAGACGGAGUUCUUCAGUUCGGCUGGACCGGAGACAGGUGCUGCAUGGCUGUCGUCAGCUCGUGUCGUGAGAUGUUGGGUUAAGUCCCGCAACGAGCGCAACCCCCGUCCUUAGUUGCUACCAUUUAGUUGAGCACUCUAAGGAGACUGCCGGUGAUAAGCCGCGAGGAAGGUGGGGAUGACGUCAAGUCCUCAUGGCCCUUACGGGCUGGGCUACACACGUGCUACAAUGGCGGUGACAAUGGGACGCUAAGGGGCAACCCUUCGCAAAUCUCAAAAAGCCGUCUCAGUUCGGAUUGGGCUCUGCAACUCGAGCCCAUGAAGUUGGAAUCGCUAGUAAUCGCAGAUCAGCAACGCUGCGGUGAAUACGUUCCCGGGC
rnacentral:rRNA from 1 species